rnacentral:lncRNA from 1 species
GGCACCUCUACAUCAGCACUGCUUGGGAGGCCACGGAGCGGGCAAGGAGCAGCAUGGAGCACAUGGUCUGAUAGCACAGCACACAACGCAGCCCCCCUUCCACGCUGCUCCAAACCGCACAGACCAGGUUGGGUUACACCUCAGGUUGGGUUACACACCUCAGACACAUUCACCUUUUGCCACCACCUCCACUCGUACCACUGUGCUCAGCGCAUACUCACCGUCACUGCACAGACUCAGCUGCUGACAUUCAACUACAAAUCUUCAGCGUAGCGGCAGCGGGCGGGGUUGGGCCGCGGGGCAGCACGACCGGCCUG